AUUGAACGCUGGCGGCAGGCCUAACACAUGCAAGUCGAGCGGAGCGACGGACGGGUGAGUAAUGCCUAGGUAUCUGCCUGGUAGUGGGGGAUAACGUCCGGACACGGGCCCUAAUACAGCAUCCUAUCAGCUGCGCCUUUGACGGAUUUGCUAGUUGGUGGGGUAAAGGCUUACCAAGGCGACGAUGCGUCACUGGCCUGAGAGGAUGAUCCGUCACACUGGAACUGAGACACGGUCCAGACUCCUACGGGAGGCAGAAGUGGGGAAUCUUGGACAAUGGGCGAAAGCCUGACCGAGCCAUGCCGCGUGUGUGAAGAAGGUCUUCGGAUUGUAAAGCUCUGUAAUUUGGGAGGCGUUACCAACAGAAAAAGCCCCGGCUAACUACGUGCCAGCAGCCGCGGUAAUUC
rnacentral:rRNA from 1 species